UCCUGGGAUCAUGACCUCAGCCGAAGGCAGACGCUUAACCCACUGAGCCACCCAGGCUCCCCUCUCUGCCACAACUACUAAACCAUGCAAAAUGCCCAGCAUCCAGCCUGAAGCUCUCUAUACUCAGGGCUCCCAGGCCCUCAUGGCCCUCCUGUAGCACCCAUGUCAUCUGCCGUUUGGUGUUCUCUUGGAGAAGAAGCUGAAUCUAGAAUUCUUGAUGGCUAGAAAUGGUUGCAGCCGUGGCAUUGCCUCAUCCACCUUCCCCAACCAGUCUGUGUGAACCUGGAAUCUGAGCCUACGAGUGUGCCAGCACAGCAGCCCUUACUCAAGUCUUUGGCCCAUCUUCUAAACCAGAUUCCUCCCUUCAGCCCUAUUAUAUAGAGAUUCUGGAGACAUCAUUGAACAGAGAGAUGGAAGAAAAGGAGGAAAGAAAAUUGAUGCUUUAACA
rnacentral:lncRNA from 1 species